rnacentral:lncRNA from 1 species
CUUUGUAUAGUUUAGAAUGGUCUAGCUGGGCCAUGUUAGUCCUAUUGACGACAGUACUGUAACCUAUAAUUGACCACUAAAACUACAUUUUGUCUUGGACAGUUUGACUAAUUUGCACACAUACCACAUCUUCAAUUGUUUAUAAUAUACACCAGUAAACCGUGGAAAAAUACAACUACUUGCUAUAGUAUUCCUGGAUCAACCCAGUGCUGUACACGUUUGCCGACA